GACCGCGUAGCUCAGUUGGAAGAGCAUUGGGCUAGUAUUCCAAAGGUCGUAGGUUCGAAUCCCACCGUGCCCG